AUAAAUAAAUUUUUUAUGAUUUAUUAAAUUUAAUUUAAAUUUAUUUUACAUGUAAAUUUUAGUGUUAAUUUUUAAUUAUUUUAAUAAUAAUUAUUAAUAUUGCAGUAAUUAGAAUUAAAAAUUUAAGAAAUUAAGAUUUAGUAAUAUUUAAAUUUAUUAACAAAUUUUGUGCCAGCAGUUGCGGUUAUACAAAAAAUGAUUUAAAUUUUAUCAGUAUAUAAUAAAUAAAAUUAUUAUUUAAAUUAAAUAUUAGAUUAUUAAGUGAAAUUUUAAUUUAAUUAAAAUUUAUAUAAAUUUUAUGAUUUAUUAAAUUUUAUAAAAAACUAGGAUUAGAUACCCUAUUAUUAAAAAUUAAAUUUAUAAUACUAAAAUAGUAGGUAAUUAUUUAUUGAAACUUAAAUAAUUUGGCGGUAUUUUAGUUCAUUUAGAGGAAUCUGUUUAAUAAUUGAUAAUCCACGAAUAAAUUUACUUAAUUUAUUAUUUUGUAUAUCGUUGUUAAAAAAAUAUUUUUUAAUGAAAAUAAUAUUUUAAAAUUUUUAUUUAAAAUUAAUUCAGAUCAAGAUGCAGAUUAUAAUUAAGAAUAUAAUGGAUUACAAUAAAUAAAUUUAAAUGAAUAAUAUUUUUUAAUAAAUAUUUGAAGGUGGAUUUAAAUGUAAUUUUAAUUAAUUUAUUAAAAUGAUUUUAAAUUAAAAUAUGUACAUAUUGCCCGUCGCUUUCAUUAAUAAAUUGGAAUAAGUCGUAACAAAGUAGAGGUACUGGAAAGUGUUUCUAGAAAGAA
rnacentral:ncRNA from 1 species